GAUUUUGGGAGAGAUGGAUGCGGCUCAAAAGCUUUCGAUCCAUCGCAAAAAUAAUCUAUUGGAGUAAUCCAAAUGCAUAUCAUAUCGAUGACGUCACCAAGCGAGGAAGCGGCAGAAUCGGCUGCGACAGAUGGUGGAGCUGGUUUGAAGCAGAUGUCGGAUAGAGACCAGUC
ensembl:ncRNA F21H12.9 ncRNA